AACGGUAACAGCUCAAAUUUGAAAUCUGGCUCUUGCGGAGUCCGAGUUGUAAUUUGUAGAAGAUGCUUUGGGUUGUGGGUUCGGCCUAAGUUCCUUGGAACAGGACGUCAUAGAGGGUGAGAAUCCCGUAUGUGGCCGAGGCCCGCGCCUAUGUAAAGCUCUUUCAACGAGUCGAGUUGUUUGGGAAUGCAGCUCAAAAUGGGUGGUAAAUUUCAUCUAAAGCUAAAUAUGGGCCAGAGACCGAUAGCGCACAAGUAGAGUGAUCGAAAGAUGAAAAGCACUUUGGAAAGAGAGUUAAACAGUACGUGAAAUUGUUGAAAGGGAAGCGCUUGCAACCAGACUUGGGCGCUGCCGAUCACCUUGAGUUUUCUCGAGUGCACUCGACAGCGCACAGGCCAGCAUCGGUUCGGGUGGCUGGAUAAAGGCCGUAGGAAUGUGGCUCUCUUCGGGGAGUGUUAUAGCCUACGGUGCCAUGCAGCCCAGCCGGACCGAGGACCGCGCCUUCGGGCUAGGAUGCUGGCGUAAUGGUUGUAAGCGACCCGUCUUGAAACACGGACCAAGGAGUCUAACAUCUAUGCGAGUGUUUGGGUGGUAAACCCAUACGCGGAAUGAAAGUGAACGUAGGUGAGAACCCCUUUGGGGCGCAUCAUCGACCGAUCCUGAUGUCUUCGGAUGGAUUUGAGUAAGACAA
rnacentral:rRNA from 1 species